GGGCCCGCACAAGCGGAGGAACAUGUGGUUUAAUUCGAUGAUACGCGAGGAACCUUACCCGGGCUUGAAUUGCAGCUGCAUAAGCAAGAGAUUGCUUUUUCCUUCGGGACUGCUGUGAAGGUGCUGCAUGGUUGUCGUCAGCUCGUGCCGUGAGGUGUCGGCUUAAGUGCCAUAACGAGCGCAACCCUUUUCCAAGUUUACCAUCAGGUUAUGCUGGGGACUCCUUGGAUACUGCCAUCGCAAGAUGUGAGGAAGGUGGGGAUGACGUCAAAUCAGCACGGCCCUUACGUCCGGGGCUACACACGUGUUACAAUGGGCGGUACAGAAGGUUGCCACCUGGUGACAGGGCGCUAAUCCUUUAAAACCGUUCUCAGUUCGGAUUGGAGUCUGCAACCCGACUCCAUGAAGCUGGAUUCGCUAGUAAUCGCGCAUCAGCCAUGGCGCGGUGAAUACGUUCCCGGGCCUU
rnacentral:rRNA from 1 species